CGACGCCCCAGGGGCCGGUCGCCAGGGGACCCGAACGCCUUUGGUGGCUGCAGCCGCUGCUCCCGGGAGCUGGCAGCCGCACCCCCGCGGGGCGCACGCCCGCGCCCUCCCAGCUCUCGGCCCUCGGGCGCAAGCCUCCUCCAUAGCAGGCGGAAGAGAGAGUCUCCUGCUGGUUUAGAAGAAGCCAUGUUAAAAAAAAAAAAAAAAGAAGAAGAAGCCAUGUUGUGAUGGAUCUCGUGGCUAGAAUCCCAGAGCAACCGCUAAGUUUGUGGUAAGUUGUUACAUAGCUAUGAAAAACUAAUACCUUCCCCAUUUUCUGUAGUCUGUCCUCUCAGAAUUAUUCUGAGCAUUUGCUGGAGCUUCUCAUUCUACCUUCU
rnacentral:lncRNA from 1 species